rnacentral:rRNA from 1 species
CACGUAGGGCGCAAGCGUUGUCCGGAAUUAUUGGGCGUAAAGAGCUCGUAGGCGGUCUGUUGCGUCCGCUGUGAAAACUCGGGGCUUAACCCCGAGCCUGCAGUGGAUACGGGCAGACUAGAGGUAGGUAGGGGAGAAUGGAAUUCCCGGUGUAGCGGUGAAAUGCGCAGAUAUCAGGAGGAACACCGGUGGCGAAGGCGGGUCUCUGGGCCGAAAUUGACGCUGAGGAGCGAAAGCGUGGGGAGCAAACGGG